UACGUAGGGUGCAAGCGUUGUCCGGAAUUAUUGGGCGUAAAGAGCUCGUAGGCGGUUUGUUGCGUCGGCUGUGAAAACCCGGGGCUCAACCCCGGGCCUGCAGCCGAUACGGGCAGACUAGAGUUCGGCAGGGGGAGACUGGAAUUCCUGGUGUAGCGGUGAAAUGCGCAGAUAUCAGGAAGAACACCCGUGGCGAAGGCGGCUCUCUGGGACGGUACUGACGCUGAGACGCGAAAAGCGUGGGGAGCGAACAGG
rnacentral:rRNA from 1 species